AACGUUCACCUAUUUCUGUUUGUGGUCACGUAUGUGAAUGAAUCUCAGUUUGGGUCGAAAAGAUGUUCGAUUUGGGGAAGAAAGCAUUUCUUGCAUCUAUUUUGGAAAGCGUCCCAAAGUCUCGGCACUCUCCAUCCUGGCGCCCAGGUGACUAAUGGAAUGACACAACAACAAAGGGCCGUUGUGUUUUAUUGAGCCCUUCUCUUCGUCCUCCUCCUCCUCUCUUGACCGCUAUUCUCUCUAUUUUUCCUGCGCGGGGCCGUAAAGAAGGCCCGGCGAAUGGAGGGGAAUGCACCAUGUGCCGAGCGACAAACGGGAGAGCGCCAUGAAAGAGGGGAAAUGUAAAACGAGAAGGAGCGAGGCGGCUGAUGACGGAUAAUGGGAUAAUGGCGCUAAAAGAAUUAAAAAAAAAAAAAAAAAGAGGAGGAGGAGAAUGGGAUGUAAAAGAAGAGCAGGAAGAGGAACACAUAAAAGGACGUCGAGAUGAAGUUUCCACUGCGCCAGAUAGCAGAGAAAGGAAAGGAGGACAUUUUGUCCGUUUACAUUCAUUUUGCACUUGAAU